UGGAAAAAAAUAUGGCGACUAAGAAACACUUAAUGUCAACAAGAUUUUCUGAUUGACAAGAGAAAAGGUCAAACAGGAACUUCAAUUGUGAACAUUGCAGAGAACACACCCAUCAGAAGAUGACCCUCAGAAAUAGGACAAUUAAUGAAUAAAAUGGACAGAGGCAGAACUGAAGGAGAUGCAUGAAAUGAGGAAUAUUUCAAAGAUUGCCUGAGCAUAACCACUGCUACUGGAUAAACAUAUGGCAAUAUAAAAGAGCAGGGUCAAUGGAGGUAUCAUACAGUAUAGGCCAUGAGAGACCAUGAAGAAGAAAGUAUUGAACAGAAACAAAAAUAAAACCAUUUUGACAUUUAUUGAAAUAUAGGAUCAAAGUCUUACAUGUAAAAUUUGGGCAUGUAAUGACUUUUCUAUAGCUCUAAGACUUAUAACAGUGAUGAUUUGAUUUAAUAUCUUUAUCCCGAUUUGUCGAAAAGAUUUGGACAUAGUGCAUCAAUUAUUUUAAAGU